rnacentral:lncRNA from 10 species
GUUUCUUUCAAAAUGAAGAUUCACUCAGUGGUUGUAGCUGUCUUGAUAAGCCAGGUUCUAGUUUACGAAGUUUUAUUCCAGAGGGAAAAAAGCCACUUCACCUAGAAAUCUUCCAAACAAAUCAACUUUUGCUCUGUGAGUAAUCCAGGCUAUCAAGACUACAUUUUAGCUGACGGCAAGGCCUCUGAGGCACGGAAAUUCACAGCUGAGUUCUUGGAGAAGGUCCUUGAGCCAUCUGGAUGGCGUGCAGUCUGGCACAUAAUGUGCUCAAGGUGCUGCUUGAGGUGACAGAUGUGGCCAUUUCAGCCUUGAAGGCAGUGGUGCAGCUUGCUGAGCCAUACCUCUGUGAAUCUUGAGCAAGCACUUUCACCUUGGAGUGUAUGAGAGAGCUCCUCGAGCUGAAGGAACAUCAGUUGCUCCUGCAGGAGCUGGGUGGUGUUUGAUGAUUCUGGAGUGUUUGACUAGACAGCACUUGCAACUGAGCAUGUCAGGUAUGAAGGAGGUAUCUGGUCAGAGAAGGUGUUUUCUGAGGCUGCUUCCCGGAUCCCUAGGGGAUGUGUUCCUGCCAUUCAGCCUUUUUGGCAGUUAUUUCCACUUGUACAAGCAGACUUUUGUCACUUACCUGAGAAAGAAAGCCCACACCUGGAUUAAUAUUAAUAGGAGUGACGAAGGCUUCUUGAAGACAGUUUGCUUGGCUGUGAACAGUGCUGCAAUGCUCAGGAACAAGGCUCAAUGCUCAAGGGUGGGAGCUGUCACCACAUAGGUAACACCUGCUGUUUUUGUUCCUUGAUAGCUUGGCUCAGGAAGGAUGAUGGUCUGUGAAAGUGAAAACCCCCGGAUGAGGGAAAAAUCAACAUGAUCCAAUGCUGAACUAGUUUAGGCCUAUGCUAUUUCCGGUGAAGGGAUGCCACUACUGACCACAACCCUGUCUCGAGAAACAUCCAGUUAUUACCCCUCUCAAUCUCUACAUACAAGAUGAAGACUUUUGACCUGGUCUGUGUCCACUCCAAGCUGAUGACUUAUAAAAGUGGCUGUGGCUCAAGAACCAGCCAACCACAGGGGACAGCAGGUGCACAAGCUUGUAAGAGUAGAAAUGAAAAGGAAUCUCUUAACUCAAUUUGGAGAAGUGAAUACUUGAGCCCUGAGCAUCUUUGCAAUGACGCCAGCUCAAAUCAGGUCAGGCACUUUCUGUGGGAGGCUAAUCCCUGAUUGCCAUCUUGCUUUCCACUUCCAUAUGGAAGUAACAUGCACUGGGGUAGAGGGCAUGGGGACAAGGGACUUGCUACAUUUGUUCUGACAGCAGUGUGAUAUAAUCACCUAUCUCAUCUGAGACACCGUCAUAUUUUAUAUGAAAGACAAGUUCUUUCUCUUUAUAAAAUGCAAUUAUACAUAAAUAGUUCAUGUCAUCUGCUCUUAAAAUUUUAGCAGCAGGACUUAAUGCUGCUGGUUACCAUGGUAACAGGCAAAGUUGGCGAUAUUGAAUAUUACUGUAUUAACCUCUCUCUCUCUCUCUCUCUGUGUGUGUGUGUGUGUGUGUAUGUCUGUGUGUUUUAAUGGCUGUGUUGCAUAUAGGGGAUAGUUUUUUCCAGACUACAGUGUCAGAAAAGUUAGAACAUAAGACUGUCACCAAUGUGACAAGUGAAUACAUUGGAAAAGUCAAGCCCAGCACAGAUGCCUUUCAUUUCUUGGUCAUAUCCCUUAUUUCUUGCACCCAUCCCUCCCUGCCAAUUUUAUUAAGGUGUAAUUGACAAAUGAAAUUAUAUAUCUUUACAGUGUACAAUGUGAUGUUUUUAUACAGUGUACAUUGUGAAAAGAUUAAAUCAAGCUAACAGAUUUAUUUUUUGCAGUGAGAACAUUUAAGAUCUAUUCUCUUAGCAAUUUUCAAGUAUACGUUAUUAUUGUACAUUCAGUGCAAUAGAUCUGCAGAACUUACUCAUGCUGUCUACCAAACUUUGUUCACUUUGACCAACAUCUCAUUUUGCUCCCCCAUCCCCAGUACCUGGCAAACACUAUUCUUUGCUUUUGUGAGUUUGAAAUUUUAUUUCAUUUAAAAAAUUUUAAUUUUUGACGCUGGUGGUAUAUGUGUUUGUUUGUUACAAGGGUAUUGCCUACAUAAUGGUAGAAAUUGGGCUUCUAGUGUUUCCAUCACCCAAAUAUUGAACACUGUACCCAACAGGUAAUUUUUUAGCCCUCACUCCCCGUCCAUGCUCCUCCCUUUUAAGAGUUCCUAGUGUCUAUUUGCAUGAUAUUUGCAUGAUUUCUUUUUCUACCCUUUUACUUUGAGUCUGAAUGUGUCUUUAGCCAGUAGGUGGGUCUUUUUUAGACAGCAUGUGGUUGCGUCUUAUGUUUUUUAUAACCGAAUUUGCCACUCUGUAUCUUUUAAGUGUAUAAUUUAGGUCAUUUACAUUGAAAGUUAAUAUUGAUAUGUGAAGUCUUG